rnacentral:rRNA from 1 species
UUGACAGAUUGAGAGCUCUUUCUUGAUUCGGUGGGUGGUGGUGCAUGGCCGUUCUUAGUUGGUGGAGCGAUUUGUCUGGUUAAUUCCGAUAACGAACGAGACUCUAGCCUGCUAAAUAGGUGGCUGGUUUUUAAUUGAAAUUGAGGGGUCUAUCGCCGGUGGGAACCGGGCGUGGGCGGGUGCGCGGUGUUGGUAAGUGCGCGCGCUGCGGGCACCCGUGGUGUGCGAGGCUGCCGGUGUCGCGUGUCUGUCUGCGUCCCCCGCUGUGUGGUAGAUCUCGCGUCAGUCACAGCUCUUCUUAGAGGGACAAGCGGCGUCCAGCCGCGUGACAGUGAGCAAUAACAGGUCUGUGAUGCCCUUAGAUGUCCUGGGCCGCACGCGCGCUACACUGAAGGAAUCAGCGUGUUUCACUCUCCCUGUCCGAAAGGACCGGGUAACCGCUGAACCUCCUUCGUGG